GACGAACCGUGCGAACGUUAUUCGGAAUCACUGGGCUUAAAGCGCGUGUAGGCGGGCCGCCCCGUCGGCUGCUGAAAUCCCCCGGCUCAACCGGGGAACGGGCACCGAUACGAGCGGCCUGGAGGGGGGUAGGGGGGUCUGGAACUUCCGGUGGAGCGGGUGAAAUGCGUUGAGAUCGGAAGGAACGCCCGUGGCGAAAGCGAGGCCCUGGACCCUUACUGACGCUGAGACGCGAAAGCGUGGGGAGCAAACAGG
rnacentral:rRNA from 1 species